rnacentral:misc_RNA from 1 species
AUAAAAACCAACACAGCACCAGGUCUUUCAUUUCUACAUAUGUGACAAAGCACAUGCUCAAUAAGGUUGAAGCCAAUUGAAUCAGGAUUCCAACAGGAUAGUGAAUCCCUAGUCAGAGGAUUAUACUGCCCAAAAUCAGCUGAUUCUAGUGAUUCCUCAACAGCUGAAGCAAUUUGGGUCUUCCUCUUCCUAAUAGUCUGUUUCUGCAUUUUCCACAUCUUGUCUUGACCAUAGUUAUCAAUUUGAUUAUAUGGAGUUAACCGGUAUCUAGUCAUUUCCAAAAUAUUUUCCAGAAAAUGACUUCUAACGGGAUAAGUAAAACCAGGAAUAUGGAUCAUUGGGGCGCCACCAUAAUAGGAAGAGAAGAGCUCGGCAUUAAGAGUAGCACUCAUCAAAAUCAGCUUCAAUUCAGGUCGACGGGGAAGGAGA